AUGCCUGCAGAAUCAAUGAAUCGUGCAAAGGAUGCUAAUGCUUCUGCCACAAGGACUCCGACAAGAUAUUCUAGGCAGAUGAAUGAGUUUGAUCAGAAAUCAAGCGGCUCAAGGAACUCUGGAAACUUUUCAGUAGCGCAACAAAAGUGGGAUUCCAAGGGCGACCUCAGGUCCGAUGCAAAAACAAAAACGAGCUCAAGUAUUCCUUCGAAAUUUCCUGAAGAAGGAGGGAGCUCUGAGUCAUCACUGUCAUCUCUCGCGCAACAUCAAGGCUGUCACUCGCAAGAUAAGGGACACAAGUCGCCUUUAUACAAUUGCCCUUGGUCGACGUUUCUCGUACCUGCAGGUUGUAGGUUCCCUGCAAUAUCAGCAGCCAGCCCAUUCCUCCGGGUGUACAGUCCAGCUGUCCCCGCCCAAAAAGAGGCACAAAUAAAGCAGGAAUUCAUAGCGAUGCUUGCGAUGUCACCUGAAUGGUGGCGUCGUUUGCUGCAACAUGGUGCCCUACCCGACCGUGACCCUGGUGAGUACCUGACCACUACAUGGUGUCAGCUGAAUUUUUUGAAGCGACAAUGA
rnacentral:rRNA from 1 species